rnacentral:tRNA from 1 species
AGAGAGGCGAAGGAAAGAACUGGCCUCCGGAGCCAAAGGCCGCAGGUUCGAAUCCUGCA